rnacentral:rRNA from 1 species
UACAGAGGUCUCAAGCGUUGUUCGGAUUCAUUGGGCGUAAAGGGUGUGUAGGUGGCGCCGUUAGUCGGGUGUGAAAUCUCGGGGCUUAACUCCGAAACUGCAUUCGAUACUGCCGUGCUUGAGGACUGGAGAGGAGACUGGAAUUUACGGUGUAGCGGUGAAAUGCGUAGAUAUCGUAAGGAAGACCAGUGGCGAAGGCGGGUCUCUGGACAGUUCCUGACGCUGAGGCACGAAGGCCAGGGGAGCAAACGGG